GGUCGUGGCUCAGUGGUAGAGCACUUGACUCACAUGUGUGAGGAACUGGGUUCAAUUCUCAGCACCA
rnacentral:tRNA from 1 species